rnacentral:lncRNA from 1 species
CUCUCUCUCUCUCUACCAAAGCGAUCACCCAUUUCUCUCUCCCCAAAUAGACCACUCUUCUCUCUACUUCUCUCUAUCUCGCACUGUCUCGCCGGUGCCCUCUCUCAUCCAUCCCUCUAUCCCUGAACUGAUCGCCCCCCUCUCUCAUUCUCUCUCUCUUUUCUCAUAUCUCCCACUCUUUCUCCCUACAACCAAUCUUUUGAAACGAUCACCCCUCUAUCUCUCUCCCUCUCUCUCUCACGCGCUGCUUCUCCCGCUCUCUCUCUCUACCAUCUAUCAUCUUCUCACACUCAACAGAUCGCCCCUCUCUUUCUCUCCCCCUCGCUAUCCCUCAUUUUCCCCUCUCUUUCUCUCCUCCUCGCUAUCCCUCCCUUUCUCUUGCUCUUCGAUCGAUAGUAGGUUUCUCUCUCCUCGACCUCGACGGAAUAAGGCAGUUUCCUUUCGGACCAGAAC